rnacentral:rRNA from 1 species
UACGGGGGGGGUAAGCGUUGUUCGGAAUUACUGGGCGUAAAGGGCUCGUAGGCGGCCAACUAAGUCGGACGUGAAAUCCCUCAGCUUAACUGGGGAACUGCGUCCGAUACUGGAUGGCUUGGAUUUGGGAGAGGGAUGCGGAAUUCCAGGUGUAGCGGUGAAAUGCGUAGAUAUCUGGAGGAACACCGGUGGCGAAGGCGGCAUCCUGGACCGGUAUUGACGCUGAGGCGCGAAAGCUAGGGGAGCAAACGGG